GCCGCGGUGCUGGAGCUGGUAUACAGGGUGGUCUCAAAAACCACUGGUCGAAAGACCGUGAGGGUUCAAAUCCCUCCCGCGGCA
rnacentral:tRNA from 1 species